rnacentral:sRNA from 1 species
GGUGUUUAAGGGUUUUGUCCUGAGACAUCUAGUCGACAUUGAGUGUUUGCUUCAGUUUUAAUCUUUAUCUUUAAUUCAAGAUUCCGCAUUUGAUUUCAUCUGUCAUCUUGUUUCUCUACUCUUUAUCUCUUUACUUAUGCAAUAUACUUGUUUACCUGCGUUUAUGUCUUUGAGCAUGUUAUCUGAGUAGUGACAUAGAAUUCUUAAGAAUGGGAUAGAGUGGUUGUGGAAUCCUUAGUCUGUAGAAUGGUCAAGUUUUAGAAUUGAUUGAAUCCCUUCAAGACUAGUUGUGUUUACUGCUUAUUUCUUUCUGAUCAACUGGAAUUCGAUCCAAAGCAUUCCCGCACCUAG